UACGGAGGGUGCAAGCGUUGUUCGGAAUCAUUGGGCGUAAAGCGCACGUAGGCGGCUCAUUAAGUCGGAUGUGAAAGCCCGGGGCUCAACCUCGGAGGGCCAUUCGAAACUGGUGAGCUUGAGAGCGAGAGGGGUCAGUGGAAUUCCUGGUGUAGGGGUGAAAUCCGUAGAGAUCAGGAGGAACACCGGUGGCGAAGGCGACUGACUGGAUCGCGUCUGACGCUGAGGUGCGAAAGCGUGGGGAGCAAACAGG
rnacentral:misc_RNA from 1 species